rnacentral:rRNA from 1 species
GACGAACGCUGGCGGCGCGCUUAACACAUGCAAGUCGAACGCUGAAGCUCAGCUUUUGUUGGGUGGAUGAGUGGCGAACGGGUGAGUAACACGUGAGUAACCUGCCUCCUUCUUUGGGAUAACGCCCGGAAACGGGUGCUAAUACUGGAUAUUCACUGGUCUUCGCAUGGGGGUUGGUGGAAAGGGUUUUUCUGGUGGGGGAUGGGCUCGCGGCCUAUCAGCUUGUUGGUGGGGUGAUGGCCUACCAAGGCUUUGACGGGUAGCCGGCCUGAGAGGGUGACCGGUCACAUUGGGACUGAGAUACGGCCCAGACUCCUACGGGAGGCAGCAGUGGGGAAUAUUGCACAAUGGGCGCAAGCCUGAUGCAGCGACGCCGCGUGAGGGAUGGAGGCCUUCGGGUUGUGAACCUCUUUCGCUCAUGGUCAAGCCGCAACAAUGGUUGUGGUGAUGGUAGUGGGUAAAGAAGCGCCGGCUAACUACGUG